rnacentral:lncRNA from 1 species
GCAGCUGGAGCCUGGUCUUCAGGUUUCAACAUGAUUUUCUCUGCGGUGCUCCUGGGACAGAACAUCCGCAUUCCUGAGUCAUGGCUGUCGGAUCUGUUUCUCCAGUGACGGGACUGGGUCCAUGCUGACUCAUGGGACACCCACAUCAGGCUCUCCCAGGGUCCAGGGCCAUGCACCGUGAGCACGGCUGGCCUGGAGGGCUGACAGUCAUGGGUGGCUCUGGGGAAUUGGCGGCUCUUCUGCAACAGAACCAGCAAACUUGGUCUCAUUAAUACAAAGCCCUGAGUUAACCCUCUAGCCAGAGGUGUUUCUCAUAAAGUCACUUUGCGUCUGAUUCAUCUCUUGGCUGGGUUGGAAGG